GCCGAGAUAGCUCAGUUGGUAGAGCAUUCCCAUGGUAAGGGAAAGGUCACGAGUUCAAAUCUCGUUCUCGGCU
rnacentral:tRNA from 1 species